AGAAAAACCUGAUAUAAUUUUUCUUACAUCAGAUAAAGGCGACACAACAUUUGCAAUGAGAAAAUCAGAAUAUAUUGAAAAAUGUCACUUCUAUUAUCAGAUCAAUCCAAAUUCAAUGAGGUUAAAUUUUAAUAUGCAGCUACAAGUGAAAUAUCGAAUAACAUUAUAAUCAACAGCUGGGAACACAAUUCAUUUAUUUCCUCUAUAGAUGCCAAGAAACUAAAAUCAAAUUCGACGGUUAUUCCCAGAGCAUAUGGACUGCCAAAAAUUCAUAAAACUGAAUUUUUGGGCUUACAUGUGCUGGCACUGGGAUCAAAACAUGCAGAGGAAGUUGCGUUAUCUGGUAGUGUGAUAAGUGGGAGUGUACUGCAUAAGCGUAGGGCAAGGUCAACAGAUCUAUGUUUACUCCUGCUAGAAGUUUCCUGGAUCUUUCCAAAUUCUCUUCGGCAAAUCCUUUAAAAAUUAUUUCUCCUAAGGUUGAAAGCUAACCUUGAAAACUACUUAUUAUGGAAAUAUAUUUUCACAAUCAAGAGAAAAGAGAAUUUCAUCCUGUUAAUUUUCCUCAAG